CCAGUGACUGUCCAGAAGAUUUCGGCUAAACUGGCAGUUACAAGAUGCGGUUAACAUGUCUGUUAACCUCGCUUAACAAAGCUGGCAAAAACAUCUCCAGGAAGUGGGCAGAACACCUGCUCCCAACUCAGUUCACACACCCUGACCCAGUUCCUUGCCCUGUAAAGCCCUGCUGCAGCCUGUAAGCGGCGCUGUCUCCUCUGCUAGUCAAGGAGCAGCCCGGCAGGACAAUAAAAACUUGCCCGUCUGACUUUGGGUCUCCUUGUCCUUUUCCUCGGCCGGCCUUACAACCAAUACCACAGUUAAAAAUGUGGAUAUGGAGCUUACCAACUGUCGAGGUUGAACCUUCUCCCUUCCAGCAGGACAACCCUCCGAUUCCCACUGAGCAGGCUGACUUUUCUCUAACCCAGCCUGAUCCCCCUUCCCCACCUCUGGAUUCUCUUGAAAGGAUUGAAUCUCCAGUCAGGCAACAGGCCACAGCUCAGACUCCAGAUCCCUCUAAGGAAGUAGAACUUUCUCCAGUCCCACAAGAGUUCCCAGCUGAGCCACCAGCGCCCCCUAAGGAGGCUGAACCAUCUGCAACCCAGCAGGAAGCCUCAGGUCGUCCUCCAAAGUCCACUGAAGAGAGCCCAGGAAACCACCCUGGGGGUGAAGCCAACAACCCCACUCUCACUACUGACAGUGCUGGAGGAGCCACCACUGCUAAAGGUAAGGCACCUCCUAAAGCCUAAGAAUUUCUCCCUUCCUCUCACCUUCAAAUAUAACCAGGCACCUCCCAUUGGCACAACGUAACUGGGACGCAGCUAGCAGUGGAAUCUGGGAAGUGUUGUUGGCUGGUGUCUAGCUCUGGCAGUACAGGGCAGAUGGCAGAUGGUCAACUGAGAGGCUAAGUAUCAAGAGACAACGGGGGGCAUAGGGAUUUAGGUGACAAAUGGAGUUUUGACCAAAGUCCACUUUAGGGUGGAUCUAGUCCCAAAAACUGAUAGUUUUGUCCUCAUGUGUGUAACUGUUAAGAAAUAUCCUAAAAUACUGGCAGAAACCUGCAUUAGCUUCCAGACCAUAGGUUAAUAGUUUUUAUUAUAAGAAGAACAGGCUGGGCAUGGUGGCUCAUGCCUGUAAUCUUAGCACUUUGGGAAGCUGAAGCAGGCAGAUCACCUGAGGUCAGGAGUUCGAGACCAGCCUGGCCAACAUGGGGAAACCCCAUCUGUACUAAAAAUACAAAUAUUAGCCAAGUGUGGUGGCAGAUGCCCAGAAUCAAAGCCACUCAGGAGGCUGAGGCAGGAGAAUUGCUUGAACCCAGGGGCGGAGUUUACAUUGAGCUGAGAUUGCACCACUGUACUUCAGCCUAGGUGAGAGAGUGAAACUCUCUCUCAAAAAAUAAAUAAAUAAAUAAAUAAAUAAAUAAAUAAAUAAAACAAGCUGGGUGUGGUGGCUCAUGCCUGUAAACCCCCAACACUUUAAGAGGCUGAGGCUGGCAGAUCACUUGAGGCCAGGAAUUUGAAACCAGCAUGGGCAAUAUGGUAAAACCUUGUCUCUACUAAAAAUGCAAAAAUUAGCCGGGCAUGGUGGUGCAUGCAUGUAAUCCCAGUUACUCAGGAGGCCGAUGCAGGAGAAUCGCUUGAACCUGGGAGGCAGAGGUUGCAGUGAGCCGAGAUCAUACCACUUCACUCCAGCCUGAGCAACAGAGUGAGACUCCAUCUCAAAAAAAGAGAAAAACAAAGUAGAACUCAUCAAAGUUUUUCAUUCCCACCAAAAUGUAAAUUAAAAUUAAAAAUCCUGGUAUGCUGAGAGAGCAACUAAAAAAAAUUUUUUUUUUUUUUUUUUUUUUGAGACGGAGUCUCGCUCUGUUGCCUAGGCUGGAGUGCAGUGGCCAGAUCUCAGCUCACUGCAAGCUCCGCUGCCUCCCAGGUUUACGCCAUUCCCCUGCCUCAGCCUCCCGAGUAGCUGGGACUACAGGCGCCCGCCACCUCACCUGGCUAGUUUUUUUUUUUUUGUAUUUUUUAGUAGAGAUGGGGUUUCACCGGGUUAGCCAGGAUGGUCUCGAUCUCCUGACCUCGUGAUCCGCCCGUCUCGGCCUCCCAAAGUGCUGGGAUUACAGGUUUGAACCACUGCACCCAGCCAAAAAUUUUUUUUAAUAAAAAUGAAAUAAAAAAUCCUGAAAGCGUUGCAAAGUUUAAUGCCACCAUCAAAGACUUCAGAUAUGCAGAGGUGGUGACUUCUGUCACAUCCAUAUCCAUGUCUUCAAUCUAGAUAGAGAAAGAGACAGAGGGUCUUCAAGAAGGUGGAGGAAUAUUGUAAACUGAAUCAAAUGGCAGCCUGAGUUACCACUGCUAUUUCAGAUGUGGCUAUUGGGGGAGUAUAUCAGUGCAACUCCCAGAAUUUGGACAAGCAAAUGCAUUUUUCUCCAAUAUGACAGAGAACAUAAGAAGCAAUUUGUGGCCAGGUGCGGUGCCUCAUGCUUGUAAUCCCGGCACUAUGGGAGGCUGAGGCAGGUGAAUCACUUGAGGAGAGUAGUUCGAGACCAGCUUGGCCAACAUAGUGAAACCCUGUUUCUUCUAAAAAUACAGAAAAUUAGCUGGGCAUGGUGGUGGCUGCCUGUAAUCCCAGCUACUUGGGAGGCUGAGGCAGGUGAAUUGCUUGAACCCCAGAGGUGGAGGUUGCAGUGAGCCAAGAUUGUACUCCAGCCUGGGUGACAGACCGUAGCUCCAUCUCAAUGAAAAAAAACAAAAAAACAAAAACAGCAGCAGCAAUUUGCUUUAUGGCCAGGCACAGUGGCUCACACCUGUAAUCCUAGCACUUUGGGAGGCUGAGGCUGGCAGAAGUUGCAGUGAGCUAAGAUCGUGCCACUCCACUCCAGCCUGGGUGACAGAGUGAGACUCCAUCUCAAAAAAAAAAAAAAAAAAAAAAAAAUUUACAUUAUAAUCUUUCCUCAAAGAAAAGCCAACCCUUCUGCUCUGUGCCCCAAUUUGGUCUGUAGAAAUUUUGGCUCUGCCAUCAUCUGUAUCAGUCAGUUCAGUGCAGAAACAACUCAAUGUAUUUCAAGCAGGCAUCUCUGCCAGCAGCCACUUCUGCAGAAAGGUGACUUCUGCCUCACAGCUGCUUUCCCACAUCUCACAUGGAUGUGCCUACUUGAAGGAACCUAGUUCAUGAGCAGAACCUUAACUGCAAGGGACUCUGGGAAAUGUGAUAUUUCACUUUACAAUGCAUCCAAUAGAAGGAGGGUGGCAUAGAGGUCAAGAGUCAAUCCAAGUAUUUGUCAUUUCAUUCUACAGGCUGUCAUGCUGUUCUACUACUUUGGUGGCACUGUGCUGACACAAACCCAAAGGUAGAAAACAGUGGGUAUAAAAGGGUAGGAGAUAAAUCCAGCAAAAAUAUAGCAGGCUGCCAUUUCAUUAAAAUUUUGGAAGUCAUUGGCCGGGUGCGGUGGCUCACGCUGUAAUCCCAGCACUUCGGGAGGCCGAGGCAGGCAAAUCACGAGGUCAGGAGAUCGAGACCAUCCUGGCUAACACGGUGAAACCCCGUCUCUACUGAAAAUACAAAAAAUUAGCCGGGCAUGGUGGCGGGCGCCUGUAGUCCCAGCUUCUAGGCAGGCUGAGGCAGGAGAAUGGCGUGAACCUGGGAGGCGGCGGAGCUUGCAGUGAGCAGAGAUCAUGCCACUGCACUCCAGCCUGGGCGACAGAGCGAGACUCCAUCUCAAAAAAAAAAAAAAAAUUUGGAAGUCACACAGUCUGAGACGCACCAGGACAUUCCCUCCAGAGCAGAGGACAGGUUGCUGUACUUCAGUCUUCCUUCCUCUAAGAAGGAAUCCCAGUGCUUGAUAGGUCUCUUUGGAUUUUGCGGGCAACAUACAAACAUUACUAGGUACACUACUUCUUUUUUUGUCUUUUUUAAAUAAUUUUUUUUUACUUUUAUUUUUAGCAGAGAUAGGGUUUUGGCCAGGCUGGUCUUGAACUCCUGGCCUCAAGCAAACACCACCUCGCUUA
ensembl:lncRNA